UGGGGAAUAUUGGACAAUGGGCGCAAGCCUGAUCCAGCCAUGCCGCGUGGGUGAAGAAGGCCUUCGGGUUGUAAAGCCCUUUUGUCCGGAAAGAAAAGCUUCGGGUUAAUACCCCGGGGUCCUGACGGUACCGGAAGAAUAAGCACCGGCUAACUUCGUGCCAGCAGCCGCGGUAAUACGAAGGGUGCAAGCGUUACUCGGAAUUACUGGGCGUAAAGCGUGCGUAGGUGGUUUGUUAAGUCUGAUGUGAAAGCCCUGGGCUCAACCUGGGAAUUGCAUUGGAUACUGGCAGGCUAGAGUGCGGUAGAGGGUAGUGGAAUUCCCGGUGUAGCAGUGAAAUGCGUAGAUAUCGGGAGGAACACCAGUGGCGAAGGCGACUACCUGGACCAGCACUGACACUGAGGCACGAAAGCGUGGGGAGCAAACA
rnacentral:rRNA from 1 species